rnacentral:rRNA from 1 species
CACGUAGGGGGCAAGCGUUGUCCGGAUUUAUUGGGCGUAAAGAGCUCGUAGGCGGUUCGGUAAGUCGGGUGUGAAACCUCCAGGCUCAACCUGGAGACGCCACCUGAUACUGCUGUGACUCGAGUCCGGUAGGGGAGCGUGGAAUUCCUGGUGUAGCGGUGAAAUGCGCAGAUAUCAGGAGGAACACCGGUGGCGAAGGCGGGUCUCUGGGCCGAUACUGACGCUGAGGAGCGAAAGCGUGGGGAGCAAACAGG